rnacentral:tRNA from 1 species
GCUGUGAUGUCACUAAAAGUCGUUUUUCAUAUGACAUUCCCCAGGGUAGUGGUC